UGUGCACGCCUGGCUCAUCCACUCUCAACCUCUGUGCACUUUAUGUAAGAAACGGUGUAAGCCAGCUAUCUAAUAGUUGGUAAUAAGCCUUUCUUAUGUUUAUUACAAACGCUUCAGUUAUAGAAUGUUUACUGUGUAUAACACAAUUAUAUACAACUUUCAGCAACGGAUCUCUUGGCUCUCGCAUCGAUGAAGAACGCAGCGAAAUGCGAUAAGUAAUGUGAAUUGCAGAAUUCAGUGAAUCAUCGAAUCUUUGAACGCACCUUGCACUCCUUGGUAUUCCGAGGAGUAUGCCUGUUUGAGUCUCAUGGAAUUCUCAACCCCUAAAUUUUGUAAUGAAGUUUAGUGGGCUUGGACUUGGAGGUUGUGUCGGCUUCUAGUCGACUCCUCUGAAAUGCAUUAGCGUGAAUCUUACGGAUCGCCUUCAGUGUGAUAAUUAUCUGCGCUGUGGUGUUGAAGUAUUUAUUAGUUCAUGCUUAUAGUCGUCUCUUACCGAGACAAUUUAUGACAAUCUGAGCUCAAAUCAGGUAGGACUACCCGCUGAACUUAAGCAUAUCAAUAA
rnacentral:rRNA from 1 species